UCACUUGUUCAUCCUCGGAGCAGGUACUGAUGAGCGAGGCUGUGCUCUAACCCUCCUCCUCCUCCUGGAGAACAAGCCCGUGCCCUUUCUCUCCUAGUCUCUCCCAGACGCAGCUGGGUCUGAGCGCCUCCGCCUCGGCCGCUCGCGCCAGAUGUUCUGGAAUGUGCCCCUGUCCUACACGCAGAGGACAGCGCCCCCCGAAGCAAGCGUCUCCGCAUACGCCCGCCUUCACCUGUCCAGCUGCGCCACGCGGGCUGUCUGCCCUUCGAGGACGGAAGGCUCAGCAAACGGAGUGGUGUGUUGGGUUUUGCUGUUGUCAAUGGAACUACAAUUUGAAGAAAUUAUUUCAUGUUUCUUUGUACCAAAGAAAGUUGCGCAUACACAGAGAAUUCCUACUCCUUUUGAAGUCAGUAAGAUACAAGGCACAGGAUGGACGAGGACAUCAUCUCCCCACAGUUUUCAUGCCUCACCCAGGCUCAAACCUUUUGAAGAAUGCACAAGGAAGCCCUUUUGAAAUACUUCUGCUGAGGUCUUUCCCCAUAUUGAAAUUCACAUGUUCUGUCUCCUAGAUACAGGAGUGGAAGAACUAGGGCCCGAGAUGGAACUAACUGAACACAGCAGAGAAUUGAAGCAAACAGUGGCUAGAAGGAAACCACCACCACCAUCACCACCACCACCACCAAAGAUGCCCAGUAGGCCCAGUAGUAGGUAGGCACACAAAGUUUUCAGCAUAAAGCCAUCUCAAGGUCAAGAAAAGGUUAACUGGGUCCAGGGUGUAGUUUAGCAGUAGAGCAUGUGUGCGAGGCCCUGGGUUCAAUUCC